UUCCACUGGGGGUGUGGCAUGGGGGGAGGGGCUGAGGGCAGCUUCUUGGCACCCGGGCUGCCCUGCCUCAUGGGUGCCCUUCUCAGGGCCUCUGGCCCCGCCUCCCAAGCCGCCCUCCUUCCUUGCUUCUGUCUCCUGACCUUUCAGUCCAAAGGGGCCCCAGGGGCUGCUGGGAGGAAGGUUGGCCAGGCCCUGGGAGGAGAAAGGCUUCGAGCUGCAGCCAGGCUGGGAUCAGAUCCCAGACACCACCCUGAGCCCGGGAAGUCUCUCCCUGGGGCCCGCUGGCUGUCCUAGCAGCCCCCUGCCAUCACGCCCAGCAACCAGCCCAGGAGCUGCAGUCUGGCCUCAGGCUGCCUGGGUUGCUGGCCCAAAUGGAAACAAUGUCAAGGCCAGCCAAGCAGGAAGCUGGGACCGCCCUUUCUGGGGAGCUGGG
rnacentral:lncRNA from 1 species